AGAACGAACGCUGGCGGCAGGCUUAACACAUGCAAGUCGAACGCCCCGCAAGGGGAGUGGCAGACGGGUGAGUAACGCGUGGGAAUCUACCCAGUUCUACGGAAUAACACAGGGAAACUUGUGCUAAUACCGUAUACGCCCUACGGGGGAAAGAUUUAUCGGGAUUGGAUGAGCCCGCGUUGGAUUAGCUAGUUGGUGGGGUAAUGGCCUACCAAGGCGACGAUCCAUAGCUGGUCUGAGAGGAUGAUCAGCCACACUGGGACUGAGACACGGCCCAGACUCCUACGGGAGGCAGCAGUGGGGAAUAUUGGACAAUGGGCGAAAGCCUGAUCCAGCCAUGCCGCGUGAGUGAUGAAGGCCUUAGGGUUGUAAAGCUCUUUCAGUGGGGAAGAUAAUGACGGUACCCACAGAAGAAGCCCCGGCUAACUUCGUGCCAGCAGCCGC
rnacentral:rRNA from 1 species